rnacentral:rRNA from 1 species
GCUUACACAUGCAAGUCGAACGAGAACGGGUUAUAGCUUGCUAUAACUGUCAGCUAAGUGGCGCACGGGUGAGUAAUGUAUAGUUAACCUGCCCUCUAGAAAGGAAUAACAGUUGGAAACGACUGCUAAUGCCCUAUAUGCCUUUAAGACGUAAGUCUGCAAGGGAAACGCUUUAGUGCUAGAGGAUGGGACUGUAUGGUAUCAGCUAGUUGGUGAGGUAAAGGCUCACCAAGGCAAUGACGCCUAACUGGUUUGAGAGGAUGAUCAGUCACACUGGAACUGAGACACGGUCCAGACUCCUACGGGAGGCAGCAGUGGGGAAUAUUGCACAAUGGAGGAAACUCUGAUGCAGCAACGCCGCGUGGAGGAUGACACUUUUCGGAGCGUAAACUCCUUUUAUAUAGGAAGAUAAUGACGGUACUAUAUGAAUAAGCACCGGCUAACUCCGUGCCAGCAGCCGCGGUAAUACGGAGGGUGCAAGCGUUACUCGGAAUCACUGGGCGUAAAGAGCGUGUAGGCGGGUUAAUAAGUUUGAAGUGGAAUCCUAUGGCUCAACCAUAGAACUGCUUUGAAAACUGUUAACCUAAAAUUAUGGAGAGG